rnacentral:rRNA from 1 species
UGGUGGAGUGAUUUGUCUGGUUAAUUCCGUUAACGAACGAGACCUCGACCUGCUAAAUAGUUGGGCUCAUCCUCCGGGAUGGGUCGCGACUUCUUAGAGGGACUAUCGGUGUGUAGCCGAUGGAAGUUCGAGGCGAUAACA